UACAGAGGUCUCAAGCGUUGUUCGGAUUCAUUGGGCGUAAAGGGUGCGUAGGCGGCGCGGUAAGUCGGGUGUGAAAUCUCGGAGCUUAACUCCGAACUGCAUUCGAUACUGCCGUGCUUGAGGACUGGAGAGGAGACUGGAAUUUACGGUGUAGCGGUGAAAUGCGUAGAUAUCGUAAGGAAGACCAGUGGCGAAGGCGGGUCUCUGGACAGUUCCUGACGCUGAGGCACGAAGGUCAGGGAGCAAACGGG
rnacentral:rRNA from 1 species